rnacentral:rRNA from 1 species
UGGGGAAUUUUGGACAAUGGGGGAAACCCUGAUCCAGCCAUCCCGCGUGUGCGAUGAAGGCCUUCGGGAUGUAAAGCACUUUUGGCAGGAAAGAAACGUCAUGGGUUAAUACCCCGUGAAACUGACGGUACCUGCAGAAUAAGCACCGGCUAACUACGUGCCAGCAGCCGCGGUAAUACGUAGGGUGCAAGCGUUAAUCGGAAUUACUGGGCGUAAAGCGUGCGCAGGCGGUUCGGAAAGAAAGAUGUGAAAUCCCAGAGCUCAACUUUGGAACUGCAUUUUUAACUACCGGGCUAGAGUGUGUCAGAGGGAGGUGGAAUUCCGCGUGUAGCAGUGAAAUGCGUAGAUAUGCGGAGGAACACCGAUGGCGAAGGCAGCCUCCUGGGAUAACACUGACGCUCAUGCACGAAAGCGUGGGGAGCAAACAGG